UUGUAGAACAUCUUCACAGUUGGUGAGCAAAUAUGUUUGCAAAUGAGCGUGCUCAGUGUCCGUAAGUCUCCGCUUCGUGAAUUUUCCACUAAGGCGUCCUAUUUCCUUGAACAUGCUUGGGACAGUAACAUGAUAUGUUGCUCUCUCCCCUCUAUCAUCAUGCCCAGCAGGUCUUCGGUGUUUUGUAUGCACUUCUGAUGGAAAAUAAUUUUCAGCAAAGAUUGCAGUUUCUUCAUUGAUCACCUGUGCCACUAUAGAUCCUUCCACCCUGCUUUGAUUUUUGACCAUCUUCUUCAGAUGAUGCAUAUAACGCUCAAAAAUAUACAUCCAUCUGUACUGCACAGGAC
rnacentral:lncRNA from 1 species